GGAUGCGAUCAUACCAGCACUAAAGCACCGGAUCCCAUCAGAACUCUGUAGUUAAGCGUGCUUGGGCGAGAGUAGCACUAGGAUGGGUGACCUCCUGGGAAGUCCUCGUGUUGCAUUCC
rnacentral:rRNA from 1 species